UGGAAAGUCAAGUUGGUUCUUGUACCAUAAAAUGACUAUCUUUACAUUAAGUAAAUAGGGUCUUAUCAAUGAGGAAACAAGCUGCUUCAUAGUUGAUGCAUAAUUACUGAUUUACUUCAUCAACAAGGCAUGUCAGUCUGUUGAUUAUGGAGCAUUGAACCGAGAAUAGCUACAAAAAUGACCCCCUUUCUUCUUUUCUUUUUUUGAACAGCACAUUAAGUUGGUGAAAAUAGUACAUAUUCAGUCUACUAACAGAGACUAACAAAGCAACAAACCAGGGAAAUACAAACAAAGAGCUACACCAAUGCUCACACUAAAAAACCAGCUACAAACACAGCAAACUACAGGUCACUACUACUUCCAUUCAAAACCAACGCAAAUGAUGGGAUCCACUAACACAUUCACCCCAACAAAAGAUAAAGCACAACUAAAACAAAGCUAAACACGUACUUCACUGUUAUCAGUGUAUAUGUCUGAUUGGCAAUUAUAGUUGCAGACAACAAUUUAGAACUAAAAAGUAGUUUUAGGCCUACCACAUGAUUGCACUGAAUCAAAUUCUCUGAGAUAUGUUUGAAAACCAUUCUUUUUAUCUUUAUAUCUCAGGAAAAAAAAAUCUCUCUCAAAAGCAAAUGGAGUCUCAAAAACUUGAUGUAAUUUUUGUUCCAUUUCCAUCUCCUGGCCAUAUGAUUCCUAUGAUAGACACAGCAAGAAUAUUUGCCAAAAACUUGAUGUACUUGCUACCAUUAUCACUACACAAGCAAAUGCCUUGUUAUUCAAGAAAUCCAUAGACAGCGACAUCAUUUCCGGAUAUUCCAUCAAAAUUGGUUACUUAAUUUCCCAUUACAGAUGCUAUGAAUUUUGAGCUGGUUUAUUAGUAUAUCUCUGCUUAUUUUCAAUUGAUUGAUCAUUGAUAUAGACUUGGCUUCCAAUUAAAAUACAUCUCAAAAGGCGAAUGAUAAAUGAAAACGUGAAGUUAGUAGCUAUGAAGCAUGGACACGACAUAGACACGUCAACAUUGAAAAUAAUUUCAAAGAUGGAAAAUCCUCAGAAAUUAUUGGUAAAAUAAUUCAAGGAAUAUUCAUGCUUCAAGAUCAAAUAGAGAUCCUACUUCAAGAACUUAAACCAGAUUGUAUAGUCUCGGAUAUGGCUUAUCCUCGGACAGUUGAAUCAGCUGCAAAACUAAACAUUCCAAGGAUUUAUUUUUACAGUUCAAGCUACUUCUCCAAUUGUGCAAGCUAUUUUGUUAGAAAGUAUAGAUCUCAUGAUGAUUUAGUUUCUGACACAAAGAAGUUUACUACACCUUGUAUGGCUCACAUCAUUGAGAUGACACCUUUGCAGCUAGCUGAUUGGAUUAGGAACAAGAGUUCAGUCACAUGCAUUUUUUAUACAAUGUUUGAAUCAGAGAAAAAUAGCUAUGGAACACUGUAUAAUAGUUUUCAUGAACUUGAAAGGAAUUAUGAUACCCCUGUUCUGAUCAUAACCUCACUCAAUUUCUUCUAAGUUUUCUAAUUCUGCAUUUUAUUUCUCUUUUAAGAUCUUUACUCUUUCUCUUCUAGUUUUUUAGAUCUCGAAUUCGUAUUUCAUAUCUCAGAUCUUUAGGUUAUCUGCUAGUUCUUGAUUAUUUUGCUGUUUUUAGGUUAUUAUGAACUUGAAUUCACUUUGCAUCUUGAGAUUAUUAUUUUCUCUGUGAAUUAUUCAAUAUUUUCUUGUUUAUAUGUGUUUUAGAUGUUGUUUUCCUUCAGGUUCUUUAUUAUGUUGUUGUUCUUGCAUUGAUAUAUACAUAUAUUAAAACCGAAAUCAGGAUCUAAAUUUCUGGAAUAUUUUGCUAUUUCUUGUUGUUUUCUAGUUUGUUAGAUCUCGAAUUCAUAAUUCAUUUUCAGAUCUUUAGGUUAUCUGCUAGUUCUUGAUUAUUACAAACAGUGAAGAUCAGUGAAGUUACUUGAGUUGAACACCGAAGAAAAUCAACGCUACCGAUCAGAUUGUUUUGGGAGAGAAAGUGAUACCAGCGUGAGAGUUAAGCAAGAAAAGUGAUAAUGUGAGAGAAUUCUUCCAUAUAUAUAUAGCCCUCUUUAUUUAUUUCUAUUUUCAAGUUUUGAUUAAGAUUCAAUUAUACCAAAACGCUAACCAGCAUUAUAAUAACUUAAAAUUAUUAUGUGAUGUGAAUGUGGAUACUAUAUACUAUACUGGUAUCCAGACCCGUGCCAAUCACGGGUAAAAACACGUUUGUAGAUUUAUUGACUUAUAAAUAAUAUACUUUACUUCAAAUUGAAAAAUUAAAAUUUUAAUUGUUAAUAGAAGAUAAUUAACGACAACUACAUAAAUAUUUAUAAUCAUAUAAAAUUUAAUAAUUAAAAUAACACUCUGGAUAAAAAAAAAAACUAACCGUAAAAUUUAUGUAUAGUGUCAUAGAUCUUCUUAAGGAAGAUUCCUAUUGUUAGUAUUUUUUCUUAUCAAAUUAAAAAUAUAUCAUAAUUGUUGUUUAUAUUAUUCUCCACUAAAAGAAUCAUAAAGUUGAUCGAAAUAUAUGGAAGAGACUUUGAGGUUUCGUAAAAAGGCUUUGAGGUGAAUUUGAAUUACAAAAAAAAAGUUUGUGUAACAAUAUAUGAGCAGAAAUAUAGACUACAAUAUAAAUAACAAAAAAUAACCGAUUCCCGUAUUAAUAUUUAAGCAGAAAUAUACAGGUUCCCGUUAAAAGUUAUAAAAUAAAUAGGUCUUCGUAUUAAUAUAUGACUAAAAAUAUAGAAUUUAUAAAAAUUAUAAAAUAAAAAUUACCGUAAAAAAUUAUAAAUAAGUAGGUCUUCAUAUUAAUAUGAGUAAAAAUAUAGAUCUAAGUAUAAAUUAUAAUGUGUAAAAAAAAAGUAGAAAUUAUAAAAUAAAAAAGUCAUUUAUAUUAAUGCAAACGAAGAAAUAUACGUUCCCGUAGAAAUUACAUAAAAAAUAGGCUCCCGUAUUGAUGUAUGAAUUGAAAAUAUGAAAUAUAUGUUCCCUAGAAAAUGUAAAAAAGGUGACUAACUAACUCAUAAAAUCAUAAUAUCUUGCAAAUAAAAUGUAAAAAAGGUGACUAACUAACUCAUAAAAUCAUAUUGAUAGAAAUAUAUGAUUAAAAUGUAUUGUCAUACUAUAAAAAAUAUACCAAAAAUAAAAAAAAAAAGAUUUUGGAAUUGAACAUGUGAAAAAAUAUAUGAACAUAAGAAAAUUGUUUCAACGAUGAAGAAAAAACCAAAAAGAUUUUUAGAAGAAUUUCAAAAUGUAUUUCCUAAUUCCUAAUUAUUCCUGAUAAUGUAUAAAAAUAUGAUACUUAAGAGCAAUAUUUAUAGAAAAAAAAAGCAAUUAAUCAUAUCAAUUAUUCCCUUAAUUCGAGGAAGUAAUUGAAACAAAAAAAAAUCAUAUAUUUCUUAGAGGUGUAUUUGAUUGAGAUUUCAAAGGAUUUUAAAAGAUUUUUUUAUGACAAAAAAAUCUUGAGGUAUUAAAUCAAGAUUUCUACAAAAAUUAAAUAAAUCUUGUGGUAUUCAAUUAAGACAAACAAGAUUUUUUUUUCGGAGCAACAAAAUCUGUUGGUAUUCAAUUGAGAUUUGUUAUUAUUUUCAAAAUGUCUAUUGGUAUUCAAAAGUCUACCGAUUUUGAUGGAUUUUUUUGGAAUGAAUUUUGAGAGACUUUUUAGUUGAAAAUACAAUUGAUAGACUUUUUCAACAAUCUCACCAAAAGCCUUGAGCCUUUUUUGAACGUUCCAAGACUUUUUUCUUUCAUCAUCACUGUAUCAAACUUCUUCUUCUUAUUUAUUACUUUCGUAGUUCAUCAUCAUUGUACCCGGUUUUUUCUUCUUCUUUUCUUUGUUCACUUUUUCAACAAUCUCACUUUUCUUUGAACCACAACUCAUUAUUGAUGAACAAUUUAAAACAUGUGAUAAGAUGAUUGUUAAUACCCUAAUUAUGAAGUUUUCCACCACUAAGCUCAUCCAUACGAAAGAUGUGUGCGAGCACAUUAUGAGAACGAGGGAUAUAAGUAAAGAUUAUUGAGAUUGAUAUGUCUGAAUAUUUUAUUGUGCAUUAUAUUUUGAACAUUAUUUCAUCCUCAUAUGAACCCUUCAUAAUUUCUUAUAACAAACAAGAAAAAAUGUCAAUCAAUGUCUCUUGACCAUAUCAGGAGAGGCUCAAGCCCACGUGCAACAUGGGCAAUGACAAAGGACCUCUUAAAAAUUAUGACCUCAAAAAAUAUUAUAGGGUAUUAGUAAGUUAGAGAGUGUAAAAAUUAUUUAUAUUACAUCGCAUGGCGUAUGGAUGAACAGUUCACUUAUGGGUUGAAAAUUGUGGAUUAAAAUUUUAGAUCACCAAAAAUGUUGUAAAAAAGAGUUGUAAAAAUGAGUUGUAAAAAAGAUCGACGCGCACGAGAGCCACAUGCUGAAGAUGCAAACUGAACAAAAUGGUCACACAGAGUAAUGAAAUCCUUCAAAGGAAUACCAAUCCACGAGCACACUAAAUCCCAAAGUAAAAAAGUUACUUUGAUCUUAAUGUUAAAAAUAAGAAUUUAUAAAUAAAGCUAUUGUUUGGUAAUUUCAAUAUAUUUUUUGGUUUAGACUUUAGAAGUUACUUUUGAAAGGAAAAAAAUUGUUUGGUAGAAUAUUCUUACGAUCUUUAAUGUUUAUAGAGAUAAAUUUAAAUUUUGUAAAAAAAAAAAUCAUAGAUAAUUAUAUUAAAUAAAUAAACAUGACAAAGAACAUUAUACACGUCAGCUUAUCCUAACAAAAAAAAAAUAUUCGUAAAUUGCUUUUCGUGUUUAAAUUAAAACGAAAACAAACACAAACGUUAACAACAACUCUGUUAUUCGCCGCACUGUCUUUUUCCUCGUAUAGCUGCUCCUCUCUCUCAAAACUGCAAAACCCCUUCUUAAUUCUCCAUUUAGCAUCACACAAACCUCUCAAAAC
rnacentral:lncRNA from 1 species